UACGGAGGAUCCAAGCGUUAUCCGGAAUCAUUGGGUUUAAAGGGUCCGUAGGCGGUUUAAUAGGUCAGUGGUGAAAGCCCAUCGCUCAACGGUGGAACGGCCAUUGAUACUGUUAGACUUGAAUUAUUAGGAAGUAACUAGAAUAUGUAGUGUAGCGGUGAAAUGCUUAGAGAUUACAUGGAAUACCAAUUGCGAAGGCAGGUUACUACUAAGUUGAUUGACGCUGAUGGACGAAAGCGUGGGUAGCGAACAGG
rnacentral:rRNA from 1 species